rnacentral:lncRNA from 1 species
UGUAAGUUAUCGUCCAACUUAUAAAAGUAUCAAGCUUAAUUCGAUAUUUCACAAUGACCAUAGAGAUUAAGUUUUACCAAGUAAAAUUAAAUUCCUGAAAGUAAAGGUUCUCAACAAUUGUAUUAACUCUACUUAAGCCUACAUACUGAUUUUGAUUAAUGAUUCAGAAUAAACGGAAUCCAGGAACCUAUAUCUCGUAUAUUCAUUUCUAGAAACAAAUGAAGAGGCAAAAGAUAUUUGGAUGAUCAUCAAAGAAAUAGAUAAAAUAAAAUUUUGAAAUCAGGUCCCAUUAAGCGAGCAAGUUUACUAAAAUGUAUUACGAAACCAAUAUAGCAACAAUUUUAAAGCAUUUACUUAAUUUUAUAUUCUACUUUAAGUAGAACUCACCAAACUUAUAAUAACGGGGACAAGCAAGCGGAAAAAUUUACCUUAAUGGAGACCACCAUCCGGAAUAAGACAAUUAUGAUCUGCCUCAGAUAUAAGAUCCUGCAUUAGAGAAGUUCUCAUAUUUUUUUAAAUCUCACAACAUACGAAAUCGUGAUUUAAUUGAUUAUAAUUUGAUUAAAAAAUAGCAUUGAAAUAGACAUAUUUGAUUAAAAUAUCAUAUCAUGUCACAUUACCAAUAAAUAUCAUUUUCUUAUUACAUCUACCUUAUUAUUUCCAGUCAAAUCCUUCUUCCUCUGUCCCAUGCUAAACACACAGCCACCACAUCUUUAGUCGUCCUCUUCCACUUCUUUUAUACAUGUAACAUGAUAGCCAUUGUGAAGGAAAAAUUAUGGCCGUUUUAUCAGAAGUAUGCUGGGUUAUGCUUGGAGACUCAAGGAUUUCCUCAGUGAAUCAGCCGAAUUCCCCUUCACAAAUUGCAAGUCCAGGUGAGACCUAUAAGCACAUUCUGGUCUAUAGGUUCAUAGCAAAGUAGAAUGAAGCAUCUGGCUAUUAUAAAAUUUAAAUAUUAUAUUAAUAAUAUAAAUAAAAUUAUGAAGUGGUAUCAUAGUGUGUGUGAAUGUAAGGUUGCAUGACUGGAGCUUCCUGUAAAUAACUGGGGGAGGAUGGAAGUCUACAGUACACACACCCCAAACAGUGUGCAUUCCAAAUAUCCAAUACAAACCGCAAACAAUUUAUAAAACCCUGAAUAACUCAAAACUUAAAAGUGGGAAGCAAAACAAACGAUGCACUCGAGAAACCAUGUUAUACUGGUGAUGUGAGACCGCACCUGUUCUAUUACUGACCUGCUUUAGCGCAACAGAAGUUCUAAAUCUCCACUAAGUUUUGUUCCUAUGAAGAUUAUGCAAAUUAUAUAUCAUAUAAAUAUAAAAGUGCGCCAAUAGCCCUGAACAUAUAUUCCAACAAUUUGAGAAAUAAAUAUAUAUAUUACAUGUAUCUCAUGUGGAUUAUGUCAAGUUGUCAACAGGUUAAGUCACGGAAAAAAGUUAAAUAUUUAUAAAUGCAGCAUCAAACUGAGAAAGAGAGAAGGGAAAAAUUUAUAAAUGCAGCAUCAAACUGAGAAAGAGAGAAGGGAAAUCCAUUUGACAGAUAUCCAAAUAUUCAAAAAAAACGAAAGCAAUUUUAGCUAGUCUUCCUGGCAAUCGGCUUACCCUAUGGCAGAUCACUGGUUCUUACAAGGUGCAGAAACACUUGGUUGAGACGGCAAGUAUAACUGUAUAAGUGUAUAAUCACUUGUAAUCCACUUGCACACACAACUGACAUAACAAAUACAAAAUUUACAUACCGUUGUCAUCGAAGGCUCAACUCUCCGAUUCCCCUCCCUACCUUAGAAACUUCUACUGUUUAUGGGCUCCAGUCUCGUUGGUCGCUGCCUCAGAAACACCUGGUUGAGGCGGCAAAUCAGUAUAAUCACUUGUAAUCCACUUGUACACAAUUGACAUAACAAAAUUCCAAAUUACAUACCUAUGCAAUCGUCGAAGGCUCAGCUCUUCGAUUCCCCUACUUUGGAAUUUCGACUGUUUAUGGGCUCUACUCUCGCUGUCUGAUUUAUGGGCUACUACAAAAUACAUGUGAACAUCUGGAGGCUGGAAUCAAAUCAUGAGUUAGACAACACUUUUAUCAUUAAAAGAGAUAUAAGAACUGGAGGAUAUCCAAAGGUGCAGAAUACUUAUGCUAGAAGAUCUAGUUAUUUUGAGCAAAGACAUCCAUUUUACAUAUAUUACAGUAUAUGAAUCACCGGUGUGCUCGUCUUGGCUACGUUUGUCACAUCAUAUGGAUGAUAGUACCAAAGCUGUAAGUUAUCGUCCAACUUAUAAAAGUAUCAAGCUUAAUUCGAUAUUUCACAAUGACCAUAGAGAUUAAGUUUUACCAAGUAAAAUUAAAUUCCUGAAAGUAAAGGUUCUCAACAAUUGUAUUAACUCUACUUAAGCCUACAUACUGAUUUUGAUUAAUGAUUCAGAAUAAACGGAAUCCAGGAACCUAUAUCUCGUAUAUUCAUUUCUAGAAACAAAUGAAGAGGCAAAAGAUAUUUGGAUGAUCAUCAAAGAAAUAGAUAAAAUAAAAUUUUGAAAUCAGGUCCCAUUAAGCGAGCAAGUUUACUAAAAUGUAUUACGAAACCAAUAUAGCAACAAUUUUAAAGCAUUUACUUAAUUUUAUAUUCUACUUUAAGUAGAACUCACCAAACUUAUAAUAACGGGGACAAGCAAGCG